CAUGCAAGUCGAGCGGUCAAAAUGAGGGGGCUUGCCCCUGAAAGACGAGCGGCGGACGGGUGAGUAAUGCGCGGGAACGCGCCCUUUGGAGGGGGACAACCUUGGGAAACCAGGGCUAAUACCGCAUAACCUCCACGGAGCAAAGCGGGGGAUUUCUUCGGAAACCUCGCGCCAAAGGAGCGGCCCGCGUCCGAUUAGUUUGACGGCGGGGUAACAGCCCACCGUGACUACCAUCGGUAGCUGGUCUGAGAGGAUGAUCAGCCACACCGGGACUGAGACACGGCCCGGACUCCUACGGGAGGCAGCAGUGGGGAAUAUUGGACAAUGGGGGCAACCCUGAUCCAGCGAUGCCGCGUGUGUGAAGAAGGCCUUCGGGUUGUAAAGCACUUUCGCAGGGGAAGAAACGGUGCGCUCUAACAUAGCGCGCAACUGACGGUACCCUGAAAAGAAGCGCCGGCUAAUUCCGUGCCAGCAGCCGCGGUAAUACGGAAGGCGCAAGCGUUAAUCGGAAUGACUGGGCGUAAAGCGUGCGCAGGCGGCCGCGCAAGUUGGAUGUGAAAGCCCCGGGCUCAACCCGGGAAUGGCGUUCGAAACUGCGCG
rnacentral:rRNA from 1 species